rnacentral:rRNA from 1 species
UACGUAGGGUGCAAGCGUUAAUCGGAAUUACUGGGCGUAAAGCGUGCGCAGGCGGUUUUGUAAGUUUGUCGUGAAAGCCCCGGGCUCAACCUGGGAAUUGCGCGCGAAACGGGGGGGGCUUGAGUUCGGGAGAGGAGCGGUGGAAUUCCCAGUGUAGAGGUGAAAUUCGUAGAUAUUGGGAAGAACACCGGUGGCGAAGGCGGCGACCUGGUCCGAUACUGACGCUGAGCGCGAAAGCGUGGGGAGCAAACAGG